rnacentral:lncRNA from 1 species
CAACCACUGAGAACCAGGCUCUUCACUACGGCUUUCAUGGGGCCAUCUGAAUUGGCAUCUCAGCGGGUGAGAGAGCUGAGAGAUGCCAGUUGGGGAGGAUGGCCACAGAGAGGCUGGUGUGGGGAGGUUCAUCCCAGGUGUGCCUGUGGAUAUGGGGUGGGGAAGCAGUGAGGAUGAACCUGGCCCCAUGACUCUUCCUUGGAGGAAGUGGCUGUCCUGACCAUCGCUCUCCUUCCUUCGUCUGGUAGCUGUGGACUGUGGCAUUCCUGAAUCCAUUGAGAAUGGUAAAGUUGAAGACCCAGAGAGCACUUUGUUUGGUUCUGUCAUCCGCUACACUUGUGAGGAGCCAUAUUACUACAUGGAAAAUGGAGGAGGUGGGGAGUAUCACUGUGCUGGUAACGGGAGCUGGGUGAAUGAGGUGCUGGGCCCGGAGCUGCCGAAAUGUGUUCCAG